rfam:Planktothrix tepida PCC 9214 isolate BBR_PRJEB10993 genome assembly, scaffold: BBR_B_PL9214_scaffold40
GUUAUAAUAACCACUAAUCCCUUUCAGGGAUUGAAAA